rnacentral:misc_RNA from 1 species
UCAGGCGCCACCAAAUUAGUAGAAUUUGCUGAAAUUUUAAGAAUUUGCUGAAAUCAUAACCGUCUCCGUUUUAAGAAUUUGCUGAAAUUUACAUAUUCUUUUUAAGAUUCUGCUUACACACAAACACUACAAAUUAUUAAUUUUUUCUAACAGCUGAUGUGGCAUAAUUUUGCCACAAAUUUAAAAUUAAAAAAUUCAAAGGAUUUAAUAGUAGAAAAUUACCUGUUGUCAUCAUUAUUAUUUUAAUUUACAAGUUUAAUUGAAUUGUUGAUAUGACAAAUGAGAAACUUAUGACAUGUAUUCCAAAAUAAUUAAAUAAUUAAUUAAUUGAUUGAAAAGUUG